rnacentral:rRNA from 1 species
UACGAAGGGGGCUAGCGUUGUUCGGAAUUACUGGGCGUAAAGCGCGCGCAGGCGGCUCUUCAAGUCAGGGGUGAAAGCCCAGAGCUCAACUCUGGAAUUGCCUUUGAGACUGUAGAGCUUGAGUACGGGAGAGGUGAGUGGAAUUCCAGGUGUAGCGGUGAAAUGCGUAGAUAUCUGGAGGAAUACCGGUGGCGAAGGCGGCAUCCUGGACCGGCAUUGACGCUGAGGAGCGAAAGCUAGGGGAGCAAACGGG